rnacentral:lncRNA from 1 species
GAGAAAAGUCCCAGGAAAUGAGUUCCGGUUGAUGGUGGGAGGGGCAGCUGAUUUCCGGUCGAAGCGCAGGCGACGAUUCUUGCGCAAGCGCGCUUCGCACAUUGCUGGCCCCUUUUUUUUUCUUUCCCCUCCCCCUCCCUCUCCCAAGCCGGAGGGGUCCUGAGGUGACAGCGCCUGCAACUGAAAUUUCAGCAGCGGGAGAAGAUGGACAAGAGAAAGCUCGGGCGACGGCCUGCUUCAUCCGAAAUCACCACAGAAGGAAAAAGGAAAAAGUCAUCUUCUGAUUUAUCGGAGGUAUGCAUUUGUUUUGCUUUUAAUCUAUUAUCUUUGGAGUUACUGAUACUGAAAGUAUUUUGCUGUUUGUCUU